rnacentral:sRNA from 1 species
UCCUUUCGGGGAUAGCGGCGGACGGGUGAGUAACACGUAGGCAACCUGCCUGCAAGACCGGGAUAACUAUCGGAAACGAUAGCUAAGACCGGAUAGCUGGUUUCCUUGCAUGAGGGAAUCAUGAAACACGGGGCAACCUGUGGCUUGCAGAUGGGCCUGCGGCGCAUUAGCUAGUUGGUGAGGUAACGGCGCAACAAGGCAACGAUGCGUAGCCGACCUGAGAGGGUGAUCGGCUACUCCCGGACUGAGGGACGGCCCAGACUCCANAUCAAUCUGNCUGGNAACUCGAGCCUCCGAAAAU